CGGAACGGGUGAGUAACGCGUGAGGAACCUGCCUCAAAGAGGGGGACAACAGUUGGAAACGACUGCUAAUACCGCAUAAGCCCACGGCUCGGCAUCGAGCAGAGGGAAAAGGAGUAAUCCGCUUUGAGAUGGCCUCGCGUCCGAUUAGCUAGUUGGUGAGGUAACGGCCCACCAAGGCGACGAUCGGUAGCCGGACUGAGAGGUUGAACGGCCACAUUGGGACUGAGACACGGCCCAG
rnacentral:rRNA from 1 species